rnacentral:rRNA from 1 species
AUGCCUCGUCGACCAUUACAGGACCUACCUGCAGGUGCGUGCCACUGCAUGCUGCCCAUAUGUGUUUGGUUGGUGCUUCCAGUAAUCGAACGUGAAAGCCGAUUAUUCUUGCAGGAGCUGUAUGCGGUCGGGGCAAGGAAGUUCAGCGUCGUCAGCCCGUCGCUGGUAGGGUGCUGCCCGUCGCAGAGGGCGGUCGCGCUGACACAUAACAAUGACACCGACGAGUUCAACUGCUUCGGCGCGGCGAACAGGCUCUCCAGGCAGCUGUACCCAUUGAUAGACUCGAUGCUGCAGGGCCUCAACGCUGAUCUGGACGGCAUGAACUACUCCCUCUGCGACUCCGUAGGGAUGGCCGAAAUGGUCUUCGCCAGCGGCGGAAAAGCCGUCAACAUGACGGUGGUGGACACGGCGUGCUGCGCCGGCAGAGGACGGUUCGGGGAGGGCCAGUGCAACACCUCCGCCACGCUCUGUCCGAACCGCGACGACUUCAUGUUCUGGGACGGCUUCCAUCCGACGGAGGCGGCAUCGCUCGCGGCCGCGCUCGAGCUCUUCGGCGACACCGGCAAAUACCUCCACCCGAUGAACGUGAGGCAGCUGGCGGCGCUGUAA